rnacentral:rRNA from 1 species
GUUGGUGGCUAGAGCUGUGGGGUCACACCCGGUCCCAUCCCGAACCCGGUCGUUAAGCCCGCAAGCGCUGAUGGUACUGCACUGGCGACGGUGUGGGAGAGUAAGCCGCUGCCAACU